rnacentral:rRNA from 1 species
ACGAACGCUGGCGGCGUGCUUAACACAUGCAAGUCGAACGGAAAGGCCCUGCUUUUGUGGGGUGCUCGAGUGGCGAACGGGUGAGUAACACGUGAGUAACCUGCCCUUGACUUUGGGAUAACUUCAGGAAACUGGGGCUAAUACCGGAUAGGAGCUCCUGCUGCAUGGUGGGGGUUGGAAAGUUUCGGCGGCUGGGGAUGGACUCGCGGCUUAUCAGCUUGUUGGUGUGGUAGUGGCUUACCAAGGCUUUGACGGGUAGCCGGCCUGAGAGGGUGACCGGCCACAUUGGGACUGAGAUACGGCCCAGACUCCUACGGGAGGCAGCAGUGGGGAAUAUUGCACAAUGGGCGGAAGCCUGAUGCAGCAACGCCGCGUGCGGGAUGACGGCCUUCGGGUUGUAAACCGCUUUCGCCUGUGACGAAGCGUGAGUGACGGUAAUGGGUAAAGAAGCACCGGCUAACUACGUG